GGGAACACCUGAGUAAUCUGACUAGAAGUCUUCGCUUUAAUAAGGCUCUUAGAUUUCUGCCGUUUUCUUUGGAUGCAUGAAGGAAUUCCUAGCAAAUGAAGGUGGUGGUGAGGCACCCCUCGAGGGAUCAGUACCAGAUAUAACAUCUUCAACUGAGCACUAUGUAGCUUUACAGAAAACCUACCAAGCCAAGGCUGAGGCUGAUUUUCUAGUAUUGACCAAAGGGUUAGGACUCUUCUAAAGAGAAUUAGUAGAGAUCCUAGUAGCAACUCAAAGGCAACUGUUAUAAGUUUCUGCAAGAAUGCUAGAAAACUCAAAGUAGAUUUCCAAGGACUGUCUUCUUGAUGCUCUCUUUGGCUGCUCAGAUGGGCUACAUGCACUUUGGCACAGUCAAGAUAUAUGGUUCUGAGGCUGCCCUUAUAAACACUUUAACAGAGACGUACGUUUCAAGAUGGGACUAUAAAAAGAGAGGACAUUUUUGUUUCCUCUAAAUUAUGGGGUAGUCAUCACCGUGACCCUAUUUCAGCUUUGAGACAAACUCUAGAGUAAGCACAUAUACUAGAUUACUAUACCUACUAGCAACAAAUUCAUUUCUUAAUCUACUAGAAUUAGAUAUGGAAGAAUUCGAUUAUUUGGUUUAGGAUUAUUGGUCUCAAUAAACCUUUUCAUUGUUCCCCACAUUUUUAUGUAAAUAUUGAGUCUUUAGCUUCAUUUUGAUAUUGGCUUUUGCUAUUACUAUGUUUGUCUCACUUUCUGCAAUCAAGUUUAUGUUUUUGCUGUUAAGGUUUGGAAUUCUCAACAGUAUAUGUUAUGGGUUGGCAUCAAGUUUGGUAUUUUGAGUCCUGGCAAAGCAUAUCUGCAGGGUUAUGCAUGUAUGCUCACGCACCCCGGAAUACCUUCCGUUUUCUAUGACCACUUCUAUGCUUCGGGUGAUUCCAUUCAUGAUAAGAUCGUGAAACUGGUACAGCAGUACAACUAGCUAGUUCCUUUAUUGACUUGUGUCUAGUAGAAGUUCUUCCUUUAUUAAGCAUUUGGACUUCCAGAUUAGUAUAUAUCGGUCAUUUUGAACUGAU